CGCAAAUGUAAAUUCUUCCUAAUCGGAUAUUGACAACCAAGCGGCAGGUCACGUUCUGAAGUACUGUAUUCUAUUUUCAUAUUUACAAUGUGUACGAGUUCACUAUGUACAUGGCCUGCUAUAUUCUGAGUGUGCAAAACAUGAAGGACAUUGCUCUUUCCAUGACAGACUGACCAGAUGAAUCCAGGGUAUGGUAGUAGGUGCCAGGCGCACUGGUUUGUGUCAAGAACUGCAACGCUGCUGGGUUUUUCACGCCCAACAGUUUCCCGUUUGUAUCAAGAAUGGUCCACCAUCCAAAGAACAUCCAGCCAACAACAACUGUGAAUAAACACCAAUCAAUUGUGAUCGCUGGCUGUACAGCCCUUUCUUAAAAAACUAAAGACCGUCAUGAAGUACGAUCACAUCUGUUCCACCGGGGCCGAGACCAGUCUUCUUGUCUUCGCUGGACAGCUGUUACAUCUUUACCAAGUCCCUAACGUGUACACACCUGUCAAAUGGCCUCACCUGGGCUAUUCCACUUCUGACUCCUAUGUAGCGAAUUAGGAGGUAGCCCUGACUGGGACUCAAACCCGGAUCCAGUGACUGGCAAGCCAACCUCUUUAUUGUUACUCCAGUAGGUUCGGACCUCUUGAUG
ensembl:lncRNA